CAGUCCACUCCAAGAAGGCAGGCAGUCCCUUCUUGUCUCUUUGCCUCCUAGGAGGUUUUUUUGUAAGGCAAAAAAAGGAUAAUUGUCUUCCUAGUACAUGAAGGGGUUAUGUUCAGGAGGGGAAAAGAAGACAGAUAAGUCCUGGUGAAGAGGAGGAAGAAGGGAAGGUAUCCUCCAGAAGUUGAGGAUGCAAAGGGAGAUGUGGAAAUUCCCAAUAAGAACCUGCAGCUCGCUUUCUCACAGCACCCCAGGAGAUCCUGGGGUAUUUUGAUCCUUGGAGAGACACAGCUUCUGACCAUGGACAUGAAUAUGAUCACACAACCUGAACUUCCCCUCAUGAACUGGGUCUUACAUAGUUCACCAAGCCAGAAGUUUGGGCAAUGGACUACUUGUCUUUUGGGAAAGGCACAGAAUUAGGCAGAUACCACAUAGAGCAAAUGCAAUGAUGGAGAUAAGCAAAGACAGCAAAGGAGAGUAUAUCCAAUGAGGUGAGAUGAGAAGGUACACGCAAGGACUGGAUACUCCGAAGAAGUGAUGCCUGAGGUGAAGUAUGAAGAGAAGAGUUUGCCAAGGAAACAAAGAUCUCUGACACAUUUUGCCCCUAUUUAGUAAUUCCAUAAAACCCUCUGAGGCUCCUAUUCAUAUUAUUGCCUCACCUCAGAUGUUUCCAUCCAGGUUUAACGUAGUUAUGUGAACUGAACAAAGUUACUUAGCAAAUAACUGGCAGAAAUGGGACAACAUAAACUCAUUCUGUCUGAUUUAUAUUUAGUGCUCUUUUCAUGAGGCAAUAUUAUUCUGAGGAGGAGCUAACUCCAUUUUGAAGAAAACACUGAUAACAGAGAAGUAAAUUAUAAGUUGAGAUACCUUUAACUGAAUUAUAAGAGAACAAAAAUAAAUCGAAGAAUUUUGUCUGAAAUAUCCCAAUUUUCUAACUCUUCUGUACAAAAUAACUGGAGAAAAAUUUCCAUUUGUAUUUUAAAUUAGGUUGUUAUGAGGUAAAUAUUUUGUAAUUUUUGUGAAGCAGAGACUACCAUUCAAACUUUGCUAAAUAAGAACAGAGUUCAAUUUACACUUUAAUUUCAUAUUGAAGAAGCUGGUGGGUUCUUUAUUCUGGAAUCAUCAGAAAACUCAAAAACAUAUUCUCACCCAGACAAAGGGAAGGUUUAAAUUCAUUUGAUUGAAUAGUAAGAGGAAAUGAACUCAGGUAAACAGAUAUAAAUGUCUUCCUCUUGUAGACUUUUCUGGAAAAACAGCAAGAGGAACAUUACAAAAGAUCACUGAGAAAAAGCACACAGUGGGAAACCACUAGACCAGAAAUGGCAGCUCUGCCAAGAUUUGCUAUUUGGCUCUAGAUACUUUACCAAGGUGAGCCCUCUUGCUUUCUUUUGUGCAAGGGAGAUAAUGAUCCUAUUGUGUUCCAAUUUGCAAGGUUCCAGUGGAUAAAUUAAAAAUAUAUGGGGAAUAAUUUGAAACAUAAAACACUACGCACAAAGUAUUGAAAAGAAACAUGUUCGCAUUCAUUAUUACAAAUUAAGUAUUGUGUUUAUAUUAAUAAAGAAGGAGGUUUGUAGAGCAAAUCUUCAAGGGAAAAAGUUGAUCAGAAAAAGUUGGUCUUAGGAAAAACCUGAGUCCACUCCUGGGUAGAUUCUAACAACCCUUGUUAUGUUGUCUACAACUUUUUUAACAUCUCAGCAUAGAGAGUAUGACAAAGGGGACAUAAUUUAACUAUAAUCCACAUGCUAGAUGGAUUAUUAACAUUCAAAGUAUUCUAAUUAAGAUAAUUAGAUAGCAUUUGAAAGAUCCUAAUUCUUGUAUAUCUUCCAAAAACAAUGACUUCUAAUAAAGAUAUCUCCAUUUUCAGUAGAAAAGAAAUGAUAUUUAAGAUACUUUCCCCCAUUUUAAAGGUGACUGGAGACUUGGUGAGCCAGCCCCUGCAAGCCUUCAAAUCAGUGCCCAGAACUAGCACUCCAGUUUUUUCCCAGGACCCACAAGACUUGCGUGAUUUCAGCUAGAUGACUAGUUGAUCCUCAAAACUAUGUCACAUGGGCUUCAAAAGAACCUUUCAUGUGAGGUGCUGGCCAAUGACUAAAGGACAGAGAGUUAAAAUUUUACCUGAUUUAAAGAACAGAUUCAUUUGACUGUUUUUGUACCUUCUUGGUAAUAAAUCAGUUUAUGCCACCUUAUAUCUUUGCUUUGGUUGUAAUGUACCACUUGGCAUGCUGCAGACCUGCUGAAAAGAUUGUUUGGAGAGCCAUAAUAUGAGUUCCUAUUCAAAAGACUUCCAAGAAUUUAUUUCUUGAAAACACUGCUUCCUCUGAAGAAUUAAUAUGAUUCCAUCUCCCACCUUAGCUCCCCCUUUCCUUUGCAGAAAACUCUUAAGCUAGGUUUGAUAUUUGUAUGUCCCCUGGGCUGAUUCAAACAGACUUCAUUUUCAUUUUCUUCCUUGAUUUUGUUUUGAUUUUUUAAAUUUUAGUCAAAUUGCUAUAUAUUUUAUUAUUCUAGUGGAUUUUUUUAAUGGCUGCCCCUGCAGCACAGGGAAGUUCCUGGACCAAAGACUGAAUCUGAACUGCAUCCAUGGAAACAUCAGAUACUUUAACCCAAUGCACCAGGCUGGGGAUCAAAUCCAUGCUUCCUCAGCAACCCAAGCUACUGCACUCUGAUUCUUAACCCACUGUACCACAGGAAGAACUCUAAUCUAAUGGAUUUUUAUUUUAAUUUUUUUGCUAUUUAAAUCCUAUAUGUAACAAGGAUUAGAAUUAUAAGCAUA